CUCCUUCCCCCCGCCCCCGACAGCGCCUAUAUUCGACUCGCCCGGAGCAAUCCUGGCUAUGGCGAUAAACGCGCGGAGAUAGGCGGAUCGGACCCGGGUGCGAUUCCCGGCGGCUCCACCAGCCUUCGCUCGCUGCGCGAGCUUCGGCUCGGCAAGCCAGAGCACUUCUGUUUCGGCGCAGCCAGCGAAGGCUGCCGCGUCGAAGCCCGGAGGGCGAAGGCGGGCCGUGUCGCAAUCGAGCAGAAGGCGCAGGCGGAUUUUCUCGUUGGGAAAUCCACGUGAGGGGCCGAAAUAGGAUCGACGGACGUUGAAGGACGAUGCUUUUGCUCGGGUGGUCCCGUUACAGGCCAUAAAGCAAUAGUUGCCAACGACAACUCUGCUGAGGGUUAUGCUCUGGCCGCGUAAGCGGUUUGAGGAAAAUCCACUCUAAGCCCUGACGAGUAGCAUCGUCAGGCGGGGCCGCGGGGCGCCUGGCAACAGAAGCCCCGCACU
rnacentral:tmRNA from 1 species